rfam:Myotis brandtii contig204927, whole genome shotgun sequence.
GGAUGUGAGGGCAAUCUGGCUGCGACAUCUGUCACCCCAUUGAUCGCCAGGGUUGAUUCGGCUGAUCUGGCUGGCUAGGCGGGUGUCCCCCUCCUCCCUCACCAAUCCAUGUGCGUCCCUCCCGAAGCUGCGAGCUCGGUCGAAGAGGACGACCUUCCCCCCUUCCCCCCUGAGGAGAGGACCGGUCUUCGGUCAAGGGUAUACGAGUAGCUGCGCUCCCCUGCUAGAACCUCCAAACAAGCUCUCAAGGUCCAAAAGACAUUAGCCUUUUUAACUUCAGUGAACAUAAAAAAAAAGACUGGUUCUACUAU